UGAUCAUGGCUCAGAGUGAACGCUGGCGGUAGGCCUAACACAUGCAAGUCGAACGGCAGCACAGGAGAGCUUGCUCUCUGGGUGGCGAGUGGCGGACGGGUGAGGAAUACAUCGGAAUCUACUUUUUCGUGGGGGAUAACGUAGGGAAACUUACGCUAAUACCGCAUACGACCUACGGGUGAAAGCAGGGGACCUUCGGGCCUUGCGCGAUUGAAUGAGCCGAUGUCGGAUUAGCUAGUUGGCGGGGUAAAGGCCCACCAAGGCGACGAUCCGUAGCUGGUCUGAGAGGAUGAUCAGCCACACUGGAACUGAGACACGGUCCAGACUCCUACGGGAGGCAGCAGUGGGGAAUAUUGGACAAUGGGCGCAAGCCUGAUCCAGCCAUACCGCGUGGGUGAAGAAGGCCUUCGGGUUGUAAAGCCCUUUUGUUGGGAAAGAAAUCCAGCCGGCUAAUACCNGGUUGGGAUGACGGUACCCAAAGAAUAAGCACCGGCUAACUU
rnacentral:rRNA from 1 species